rnacentral:lncRNA from 1 species
CACACAGACAGUAAGUUGCCAGAAUAGAAGAUGCAAGUUCUCAGCACCUCUGUUGUAAUUAAGGGAUCAUCUCCCUUCCCUGCACUGCUGCUGAUGAGCACCAGAGCACCAGAGCACAGGCAUGGAGCACCAGACUCGUGGGCUCAGAGCACAGGUUGGGAACUUGCAGAUGUGCUCUGUGUCCCUUCCCAUGGGAACCAACCUUUGGAAGAGGGAUGGAAGACUGGAAGUACCUACGUCUCUUUGCAACAGAGAGUUAUGAAUCUGGAAAGUUUUCCCAACUCCCACUCUUUACCUCUAGCAGUUACUGUCUGAUGCAUGUAAGCCCCAUGUCAUUGCCUGCAUUCCUCAGGAUUUUGUCUCAUCUACUGUACACCAUCAAGGUACCCAUGUGAAAACUUCUAGUGCAAAUAGUCUAGGUACACACACACAGAUUUCCA